rnacentral:ncRNA from 2 species
UUAAGAAACAAGGGGUGCUUCACGGUUGUGUUGCUGAGAUUAUACCCAUAGAACCUGACGCUGAUAAUGCAGCCGCAGGGAUUGUCUCAUUCUAUACUU